rnacentral:rRNA from 1 species
GACGAACGCUGGCGGCGUGCUUAACACAUGCAAGUCGAACGGAAAGGCCCUGCUUUUGUGGGGUGCUCGAGUGGCGAACGGGUGAGUAACACGUGAGUAACCUGCCCUUGACUUUGGGAUAACUUCAGGAAACUGGGGCUAAUACCGGAUAGGAGCUCCUGCUGCAUGGUGGGGGUUGGAAAGUUUCGGCGGUUGGGGAAGGACUCGCGGCUUAUCAGCUUGUUGGUGGGGUAGUGGCUUACCAAGGCUUUAACGGGUAGCAGGCCUGAGUGGGUGACCGGCCACGUUGGGACUGAGAUACGGCCCAGACUCCUACGGGAGUCAGCAGUGGGGAAUAUUGCACAAUGGGCGGAAGCCUGAUGCAGCAACGCCGCGUGCGGGAUGACGGCCUUCGGGUUGUAAACCGCUUUCGCCUGUGACGAAGCGUGAGUGACGGUAAUGGGUAAAGAAGCACCGGCUAACUACGUG